rnacentral:rRNA from 1 species
GGACUACCCGGGUUUCUAAUCCUGUUUGCUCCCCUAGCUUUCGUUCCUCAGCGUCAGUUGCGGUCCAGCGAGCCGCCUUCGCCACGGGUGUUCCUGCAGAUAUCUACGCAUUUCACCGCUACACCUGCAAUUCCACUCGCCUCUCCCGCACUCGAGCGCGGCAGUUUCGAAAGCAGCCUCUGAGUUAAGCCCAGAGAUUUCACUCCCGACUUGCCGCACCGCCUACGAACCCUUUACGCCCAGUAAUUCCGAGCAACGCUGGCCCCCUACGUAUUACCGCGGCGGCUGGCAC